GGGCUCAGGACUGAACUCAGAGGACUCACCAUGGAGUUCUGGCUGAGCUGGGCUGUGCUGGCUGCUAUUUUACAAGGUGUCCCGUGUGAGGAGCAGCUGGUGGAGUCUGGGGGAGGUUUGGUGCCGCCUGGGGGUUCUCUGAGACUCUCCUGUGCAUUUUCUGGAUUUUGUUUUGAGGAUUAUGUCAUGAGCUGGGUCCGCCAGGCUCCAGGGAGGGGGCUGGAGUGGGUCGCAGCCAUUAGUGGUGAUGGUAGUUACACAUCCUAUGCAGACGCCGUGAAGGGCCGAUUCAUCACCUGCAUAAAGAAGUCCACUAACGAGUUGUGUCUGUGCAUGGACAACGUGACAGGCGAGGAUACAGGCUUGUAUUACUGCGGAGGAGCGACACGGUGA